rnacentral:lncRNA from 1 species
GCGCCCCCACAGCCAUGAUAGGAAUAGGAGGAGAAUCUCAUCCUAACAUGAGCAAAAGUUGAAGGCCCGAUUAUUUAGAGACCGGAUGGAGGGAGAGGCUCUUGCAACGGUCCUAAUGUGCCCCCACAGUCAUGUUAGGAAUAGGAGGAAAACCUCGUCCUAACAUGAGCAAAGUCGAAGGUCUGAUUAUUUAGAGAUCGGAUGGGGGGAGAGGCCCUUGCAACGGCCUUUAUGCGUCCCCACAGCCAUGAU